GGGCCUCUAGCUCAAUGGGUAGAGCAGCGGACUUUUAAUCCGUUUGUUGUCGGUUCGAGUCCGACGGGGCCUA
rnacentral:tRNA from 1 species